rnacentral:rRNA from 1 species
UGCAUGUCUAAGUCCGAGCUGUGUUCACACGGCGAGACCGCGGACGGCUCAUUAAAUCAGUCGUGGUCCAAAUGGGCCAGUGCAAAUCCUACUUGGAUAACUGUGGUAAUUCCAGAGCUAAUACAUGCAACUGAUAUCCCGAAGGCGUGGCUGUGCUUGCUUGUCUUGCGCUUUCAUUGCUCUGACGGAUGCUUUUAUUAGACCAAGCCGCUGAGGACUUGGGGGUUCGCUCUCUUGUUCGACUCGUGUUAUGGUGACUCUGGAUAACCAAUUCUGACAAGCGCACGUACUUCUCUUCUGAGCGAGACGGCGCUGCCACUUUCGAGUGUCUGCCUUAUCAGCUAUCAACCGUUCGUUAUGCGCGACCGAUGGCUUUGACGGGUAACGGGGAAUCAGGGUUCGAUUCCGGAGAGGCAGCCUGAGAGACGGCUACCACGUCCAAGGACGGCAGCAGGCACGCAAAUUACCCAAUCCCAGCAAAUGGGGGAGGUAGUGACGAAAUCUAACGAUGCGGGCGCCCUUUCUGGGGCCCCGCAAUCGGAAUGGGCACUUUCUAAACAACCUGUUGAGAACCUACUGAAGGGCAAGUCUGGUGCCAGCAGCCGCGGUAAUUCCAGCUUCAGCAGCAUCUAUUAAAGUUGCUGCGGUUAAAAGGCUCGCAGUUGAAUGUCUGUAUCGAGCGCAGGUCAGGUGGACGUUGGGGCGUGGAAGUACGGGCUGUUGGAUGUUCGGAGGGCUUCGUGCUCGACGGCUCCUUCGGCUUUUCCACACACCCCCGUCCGUAACAAGCCUCCUCGCUCGGGUACAUAACGGGAAUCGGUCAAACGGAGUGUGGUCUUGCUUUUGGAGGUUAACGCUUUCAGGAGUGUGGCUACGUUAAGCUCCAUCGGUUUCACGGUCACCUUGAGUAAAUCAGAGUGCUCAAAGCAGUCGUAGGGGCCUUGCGCCCUGUGAACAGUCUUGACGGACUGACUUGGUUUUGCAUGGCAUGUCGGAAGACGACGUCGUGUGCUGGCUCAGAGGAUAAAUCAGUGGUACAAGCCAGCCUCGACGUAAUGAUUAAAAGGGACGGUCGAGGGCAUUGGUAUUGCGAGGCGAGAGGUGAAAUUCUGUGACCCCCGCAAGACCUCCUGAAGCGAAAGCGUCUGCCAAGGACGUUUUCAUUAAUCAUGAACGAAAGUUAGAGGAUCGAAGGCGAUCAGAUACCGCCCUAGUUCUAACCCUAAACGAUGCCAACCAUCAAUCCGCGCGUAGCACCCUUCUUAACGGGCUCGGCGGGCAGCUCCCCACUCACGGGAAACCAGAGCCUCUGGGUUCCGGGGGGAGUCUGGUUGCAAAGCUGAAACUUAAAGGAAUUGACGGAAAGGCACCACCAGGCGUGGAGCCUGCGGCUUAAUUUGACUCAACACGGGCCAUCUCACCAGGCCAGCACUCUUGUACGAUUGACAGAUUGAGAGCUCUUUCUCGAUUCAGUGGAUGGUGGUGCAUGGCCGUUCUUAGUUGGUGGAGUGAUCUGUCUGGUUAAUUCCGAUAACGAACGAGACUCUCCCCUGCUAACUAGUCGGUUGGAUCUUGAUCAGCGGGUUGCGUGCUGAGUAACUCUCGCUGCGUGUGAUGUGCGUUUCGUGCUUAACGGUGCGUUGCGUCUUGCGCGUAGUGUUGGAUGCCUUGGAUCACACUGCACCCCAAGUCCGCCGCUUAUGCUAUAACUCUUCUUAGAGGGAUUCACGGCACUGAAGCCGUAAGAGACUGAGAGCAAUAACAGGUCUGUGAUGCCCUUAGAUGCUCUGGGCCGCACGCGCGCUACAAUGCCGGGCACAGCAGGUGUUUCUCCUGCUCCGACAGGAGCGGGUAACCCUCUGAAAGCCAGUGUUCUUGCAAGUACUUCCUCCCUCGUGGAGUUGUACAAAGGCGUGCUUGGGCCUGGGACUUGCAAUUCUUUCCCACCAACGAGGAAUGCCUAGUAGCGGCGGGUCACUGAGCCCGCUGUGACUCAGUCCCUGCCCUUUGUACACACCGCCCGUCGCUACUACCGAUUGGGUGUACCAGUGAGAGCCUUGGACUGGCGUCCGUUGUUAUUCGCAAGAGUGACAAGCGGGUCCGACGGAAAGAGGUCCGAACUGGUGCACUUAGAGGAAGUAAAAGUCGUAACAAGGUUUCCGUAGGUGAACCUGCGGAAGGAUCAUUA